AUGGGAGUCAGCUUCUCUCUCCCUUCUUUCCCACCCCAUGCGCAGAGUCUUGCAGCGCCCCUGUACCCCUGCCUCUGUAAACGGUGGGAGCUGACACCUCUCUCCUCCGACUCUGCAUCCACAGCUUUUUGCCAGUAUGGGGCUUGUGCUGGGUGGCCUACGGCUGUGAUGACCCAGCUCCUUGCUCCUGUCCCCUUAGGCAGCUGCCUGGGAGUGGGAACUCCUCGCCAGUGUGCUUCUGCUCCCCCAUCCUGGUUGCUGUUUGUCAGCAGCAGGUGUCUGUCCCCCAAUGAGUCCCGCUGCAGUGGCCCUCCCAGCCACGUGGCAGGGCGUCCCCCGUCACCUCUGGCUCCAGGCCCUGUCCCUGCAGCGAUGCCUGUGAAGGAGCCUGUACCCAGCCAGCCCUUCACUUGCCCAUGCUCCCAUACCAUCUUGCUGCCUGCAGCCCUUUGCAGCACCCUUUGGGGCAGGCACACAGCCCCUCAUCCCUUCCCGGCCCAGCCAGGACCUGGCUGCCUCUCACUGCCCUCCCAGUGGAGGCCAGGGGCCAGAAACAGCAGCUGGAAGUGUCUCUCUGCUCAGACAUCUCUGGGGAGCAAUGGAGCCUGCAGGCAGGAGAGGGGGCCAGGCCCCAGUAGCCCCGGGCUGUCAUCAUGGGGUCUGACUGUUGCCAGGCUCUGUCAGCCCCAUGCUGUCACCAUGGGGCCAGAUCCAGUCGGCCCCAGGCUGUCGCCAUGGGGCCAGGCCUUGUCAGCCCUGGGCUGUCACUGUGGACCAGGCCAUGUUGGCUGUGUGCUAUCACCAUGGGGCCAGGCCCAGUUGGCCCCAGGCUGUCACCAUGAAGCUGGGCUCACUGGCCCCAGGGGAAGUGCGAGGAUCCAGCUGACCUGUCAUGUCCCCACACAUCUGCAGCCCAAACAACUGGUGCCCCCCCUCAGCCCAAGGACAUGCUGGGAGCCCUUUCCCUCUCUUGGCAUGUGUGGCACCAGCAAUGUCUGGGGCCUGUGCUCAGUCCCUCUCUGA
rnacentral:lncRNA from 1 species